rnacentral:rRNA from 1 species
GAUGGCAGCAACGGAAACCAUAACGAGCAUCAUCUUGAUUAAGCUCAUUAGGGUUAGCCUCGGUACGGUCAGGCAUCCACGGCGCUUUAAAAUAGUUGUUAUAGAUAUUCAAAUAACCCUGAAACAAAUGCUUAGGGAUUUUAUUGGUAUCAGGGUUAAUCGUGCCAAGAAAAGAGAUCGGAAGAGCGGUU